AUCGCUUCUCGGCCUUUUGGCUAAGAUCAAGUGUAAUUUCACCAGCCGUGGCUCCAUUGGAUAGCAUAUGUUGACAGUGGUUAAAGGACAUAAUUUUACUACUUUAUAUAAAUCUCUUGACUGACCUGUAUCUUGUUUUGUUUGUUUUGUUUCAAGGUAGGGUCUUUCUGUAGCUCUGACUGUCUGGAACUUUCU
ensembl:snRNA LOC120095487 U2 spliceosomal RNA